UGGUGCAUGUGUCCGCAAGGNCCGAGUGCUGAUUGUCCUUGUAGGUNGUGUAUAUGUGCGAUGCUCUUNAAUGGGUGUCGUGCGUAACCGACAAGUUUACUUUGAAAAAAUUAGAGUGCUNAAANCAGGCUUANGCUUGUAUAUUGNCGCAUGGAANAANGAAAUAGGACNUNGGUUUUAUUUUGNNGGUUUUNUAAACNGAAGUAAUGAUUAAAAGAGSCUGCCGGGGGCAUAUGUAUGCUGGUGUGAGAGGUGAAAUUCAAAGAUCAUCAGCAGACAAACUACUGCGAAAGCAUUUGCCAAGAAUGUUUUCAUUAAUCAAGAACGAAAGUCAGAGGAUCGAAGACGAUCAGAUNCCGUCCUAGUUCUGACCAUAAACUAUGCCAACUGACAGUUAGUGAAGGUANUUUUCACGUCCUCASUAGAAGUCACCGGGAAACCUAAGUCUAUGGGUUCCGGGGGAAGUAUGGUUGCAAAGCUGAAACUUAAAGGAAUUGACGGAAGGGCACCACCAGGAGUGGAGCCUGCGGCUUAAUUUGACUCAACACGGGAAAUCUCACCCGGUCCGGACACUGUGAGGAUUGACAGAUUGAUAGCUCUUUCUUGAUUCGGUGGGUGGUGGUCCAUGCGCCGUUCUUAGUUGGUGGACGCGAUUUGUCUGGUUAAUUCCGAUAAGCGAAGCGAGACUWUAACCUGCUAAACUAUGUACACUUGUGUUUAAUCGCGAGUGCUGACUUCUUAGAGGAAUANGUAGCUUUUAGCUAAAUGAAANUGAGCAAUAACAGGUCUGUGAUGCCCUUAGAUGUCCGGGGCCGCACGCGCGCUACAAUGGCAGUAACAGCGAGUUNUAAUCCUAGCUAGAAAUGGCCGGGUAAUCUUGUGAAACACUGUCGUGUCAGGAAUAGUGGAUUGAAAUUUUCCCACUUGAACGAGGAAUUCCUAGUAAGCGCAAGUCAUUAGCUUGCGCUGAUUACGUCCCUGCCCUUUGUACACACCGCCCGUCGCUACUACCGAUUGAAUGGUUUAGUGAGAUUGUUGGAUUCUGAUCUAAGAAAUGGCAACAUUUU
rnacentral:rRNA from 1 species